GGAUGCGAGGGUGGUAUGUUGGUGACAUCUGUCACCCCACUGAUGGCCAGGAUUGAGUCAGCAGUUCUGGCUAGCUAGGCAGGUGUCCCCUUUCCCCUUCUCCACUCCAAGUGCAUUGUCCCUCCCAAAGCUGGGCAUUUGGUCAAAGGGGAUGACCAUCCCCACUAUAGGAGGACUGGUCUUUGGCCAAAGGUAUACAAAUUGCUGCACUCGUCUGCUACAAGCUCCAAACAAGCUCUGGAGAUGACAGGGGGACAUGUUUGCUUGCCUUCCUACAGCUUAGAGGCUACCGUGUUUUGGGGCUC
ensembl:misc_RNA 7SK 7SK RNA